UAUAAUGAUUGAUUUGUGAUCUACAAACUCACCUCCGACUCGGGCUUUACCCGGAUUUGGGGUCUGUUUUCUUCACCAACUUCCUUCUCUCGGAUCAGACAAAGUAGAUUACUAUGGAAUUAGCAGAUAAAGCUGUUGGGCUGCUUUUAACUGUAACCAGCUUGUGCAUUUUCACAUAUUAUACCUUCUGGGUCAUUAUCCUGCCUUUUGUCGACGGUGACCAUUUUGUCCACAAGUACUUUCUCCCGCAAGAAUAUGCCAUUCUCAUUCCUGUAUUUGCUGGUGUAGCACUUGUGAGCUUCCUGAGUAUGUUUAUUGGAUAUGUGAUGCUCAAAUCCAAGAAGAAGAAGAAGGCAUGAUACAAUUUCAGCCUGACACACUCUUAUGGCUUUUACCGUAGUUGAAAUAUGCGUUUCCAUUUCUAAUCAAUUUUGCUAAAACGUGUACAUUUUGUAGCUCUCUACGUGCUUUUAUUGUGAAUUGUGAUCAGUUUUGGUAUAUAAACCCCAUCUAUUCUAAACAAAA